rnacentral:rRNA from 1 species
AUACGUAGGUGGCAAGCGUUGUCCGGAUUUACUGGGUGUAAAGGGCGUGCUAGCCGGGAAGGCAAGUCAGAUGUGAAAUCUGGGGGCUCAACCUCCAAACUGCAUUUGAAACUGCUUUUCUUGAGUAUCGGAGAGGUAAUCGGAAUUCCUUGUGUAGCGGUGAAAUGCGUAGAUAUAAGGAAGAACACCAGUGGCGAAGGCGGAUUACUGGACGACAACUGACGGUGAGGCGCGAAAGCGUGGGGAGC